rnacentral:rRNA from 1 species
AAAGAGCUGCGGUAUUUUGACCGUACAAAGGUAGCAUAAUCAUUAGUUUUUUAAUUGAAAACUUGUAUGAAUGGUUGGACAAAACAAAAGCUGUCUUUAUUACAGAAACAGAAUUUAACUUUUAGGUGAAAAGGCCUAAAUAAACCAAAGGGACGAUAAGACCCUAUAAGCGUUUGGUUGGGGCGGCAUGAAUAAAAUUAUUAACUAUUCGUAAGUAAAACACAAAUAUGUGGAUAGAUCCUUAUUAGAGAAUAAAAGAAAAGUUACUUUAGGGAUAACAGCGUUAUUCUUUUUAAGAGCCCAUAUCGAAAAAAGAGAUUACGACCUCGAUGUUGAAUUAAAAAUUCUAUAUAGCGCAGUUGCUUUUUAAGAAGGUCUGUUCGACCUUUAAAUUUUU